UUCAGCCGGGGAAAUAUUUGUGAAACCCUCAAAAUAUUCAUAAAGGAUUGGUUUUGUUCAUUCUGCAACAUUGUGAUUGAAAGAGCUUUGGAGUUAGACAGAUUUGGUCCUUGGCUUGUAGGAUUUUAGUUCCCUGACCAGAGAUUGAACCUGGGCCCUCGGCAGUGAGAGUGUGAAGUCCUAACCACUGGACCACCAAGGAAUUCCCAGAUUUCUAUUUUAAAAGCAUCCCUUGGGUACCAAGUGCAUAAGACUGAUGCCCCAGCUCCCAGCUGAGACCUAAACUCCAAAUUGUGGCAUACAUCAUCAGACCAGGCACCAGACCAAAGACUUCCUGCCCCACAGCAAACCGCAGGUGUUCAGGAACAUGAGGGGGGUAGAUCAUCUCGACCUGAGUAUCUUUGACUGUGGGAGGAUACAUUUCACCACCAAUUAUCUAAAAAAUAACAGUAACAAAAGAGCUGGUCCUCGCUUAUGAUCUGUCUUGAAAAAUUGAUGGGUGAAGUGCUGGGCAAAGAACGCAAACAUCAUAUUUGUGCCCUGGGGAUCAGGGAUGAACUUUCUUCUUAGAAGUACUUUUUCCACAACUUCUUUUGAAUCAGGAAGCUCUUUCCUCCCUGAAAAAUGAGAAAGCCUAAGAAGACAGUGUGGUCCAGCCAUCUUGAUUUUUCAAAUAACCAUCCACUUACUGCUGAAGAGGCCUAUGAGGAAUGUCUGGGCUUGACACUCACUUUGGAAAUAAAGAACUCAAAGCUGUUGAAAGAUCUGGACAAAGAACAUUCCAAGUUGAGAGGAAAACUAGUGAAAAGGCCCUGAGGCGUGUUUGAGAGAGUGUGGCAGAAGCAAAGCUAGGAGGAGAGGUGGAAGGUGAGUUCAGAAAAGGCAAAGGCAGAUCAUGUGGGUCUUAUGGGAAUUUGGGUUUUAUUCCGUGUCAAGGGAAAUCAUUGAAUGGCUUACAGUAUUAAAGUGGCAUGACUUAAUUUACAUUAAACAAAAACAAAA